GGAUGACAUGCACUCCUGUUACUGUACUGUAUAUAAGGAAAGCUCAACAUUCAUAGCAACUCAAAAACCUCCUCGACUCUCUGUGAGAUAAACUGCUGAAGGUGCAAAGAUUUGAAGUGUGAUCACUGUAACCAUGCUGAAGCUAGCUCUUGUGCUUGGAUGCCUCCUGAGCCUGGCUCUGGCUCGUCCUAAUGACAUGGAGCAUAAACGACUUGCUCGUUCAAGCUCAUCUGAGUCAAAUUCAGGAGAG